CAAAUAACAGCAACAGUAACUCAUUUUUAAAUAUUAAAAUUGCUGGAGAACACGACGGAUCCUGCAGCUGUUCGGCUGUCCUGGUCAAGUCAGUGACCCUAGGGCUCUGCACCGUGCCCUGCACACAACCCCCAGGAAAGAGGCUCUGAUGUGUUCCCUGCUGCAAGGCUGGCUGCAUAGUCUGUGGGGCCCAGGCAAACUCAAAGUGCAAAGCUCCUUGUUCAGAAAACAGAGGGAAGGUGCCAUUAAGAACCGUGCUGGUAAAAACAAAUGCUGCACAAAGGGAACUUGUUUCAUAUGCACAAGUUCUUCCACUCUCGGCCUGGGACUCACUGAUGAGUGAGGAAGGACUGAAGGCAAAAGAACUAUGGCCUUUCGGCAUACUCCGGUGUCUAACAUAAAGAAGUGCAUGAAUAAGAACAUACAUGAUAUGUGUGAUGGCUAAUACUGAGUGGCAGCUUGAUUGGAUUGAAAGAUGCAAAGUAUCGAUCCUGGAUGUGUCUGUCAGGGUGUUGCCAAAGGAGAUUAGCAUUUGAGCAGUGGGCGGGGAGGCAGACCUACCCUUAAUCUGGUGGGCACCAUCUAAUCAGCUACCAGUGCUAGAAUAUAAAGUAGGCAGGAAAAAUGUGAAAAGAGAGACUGGCCUAACCUCCCAGCCUACGUCUUUCUCCCUGGCUGGAUGCUUCCUGCCCUUGAACAUCGGACUCCAGGUUCUUUAGUUUUGGGACUUGGACUGGCUCUCCUUUCUCCUCAGCUUGAAAACUGCCUAUUGCGGGACUUGCGAUCAAGUAAGUUAAUACUUAUAAACUCCUCUAGAGAACCCUGACUAAUACAGCAUGGUUCCUUUAUGUUUCUUAAGACACCAUUGCCGCCUUUCUGCCUUCAAAGCAAGUUUAGGCUCUAAGGGGAAAAGUGCGGCCCUUCAGGGAUGUCAGCAUCCAGCUCACUCAGUUGUAGAUAUAGCAUGAGAACCUUGUGCUCACUUUGAGUCUUGGUGGCCUCCCGACAUCAGGGGUCCACAGGGAAUUCAGUGUGCAUGGUGCAUCGUGAAUGCUUUAUGGAACAUCGGUGGCCACACAUAGAGGCCUGUUUCCCUGGCUCAUGUUUCAUUGUCUUAAUGGACCUCAGUUACAAACCACAAGUUUACAGAUAAAAUUAUUAAACAUUUCAAGACAGAAACAGCCAUCCUUAAUUAUUUUUACAUAAUCCACAACAUCUCUGUGAAGACGAAAACACUACGAUGUUCUUCAAGGAAUUGCCAACACUAAAUAGAAGGGCACAUAAGGAGAUCAACAUUCACACUACGAUGUUCUUCAGGGAAUUGCCAACACUAAAUAGAAGGGCACAUAAGGAGAUCAACAUUUGAGUCAGUGGGCUGAGAACAGCCGCUGACAUACAUGGUUAGCAGAGCUAGAGAUAUUUUGGAGAAAUAAAGCAACAAAGUUUCAUCCACAGCUGCAAGGAAGGGAAGGACUGAAGGCAGUGUGAUUCUAAGAUCAUUUGACAGAACCAUGAUGAGCAGGAUUUUGACGCUUGUAAUAAUAGUCUCUAACCCUUUAGGGGCAAAGAAAUAUUCAAUAGAAGCCCUGCUUGACAAUUUGAUCAUUUAAAGGGAAAACUAUAAUGUGAAAGCUUUGGCAGGUGCUUUGGGCCUCUAAGAGGUAGAAACCUACAAAGGUGGCUCUUUGCUGAUUAGAAAAUCCCAGUGAGGCUUUGAAUACAUAUUACAGGUUAGAGGUAGAGUUGGGGUGUCACUUAAGGACCAAGCUGCUCCUUAGAAGACCAGUUUAGGAAUUUGGGAUCUGGAGGCUGGUUGCCAGAGAGAAUAGGAAGAGAGUCCUUGGGAGGCAGAGAGGAGUCUGUGGGAGCAGUUGGGUCUGAGGUGAGACCCUGGCUUGGACACCAGGAACUCCAAGUGUCAGUGAAGCACCGAAGCGUCUUCGGAGCUGUGAUGGUUGUUGUUCAGUUUUAGGUUGUCACUGUGCUGUGCUGGAACCACCUUUUCCCCCAGACUUUCGACAGUAAAUGGGAGAAGAGAGGGGGUACAGGAAAGGGCAUUGUGGUGUAAAAUGCUGUCAUCUCCGGAGGUGUGACUCAGAAGAGAGAUCAAGGCUGGGAAGAAGCAAGACAGUCAAAGAGAGGCAGCCAAAAGGACCCUCUGUUCCUGGAGAUGCUGGUGCUGGAGUGGGAAGGACUGUGUUUCUCACUGCUCUUGCAGUGAGGAUGGGGUCAGCGGGCUGAAGGGAAGCAUGCUCUUUGGAGGCUGGGGGAUGGGCUCUCAGACCCGUUGCCACCCCUGGUCUUCCCCUUAUGCACCUUUUCCAUAACUCUUCUCUGGGGAAGCACAGUGAUUGAGGAGGCUAGAAAUUAUACUGGGACGGCUGGUACAGUUUGGACGUUUGUCCCCUCCAAACUCAUGUUGAACUGUGAUCCCCAGUGUUGGAAGGGGGGCCUUGUGGGAGGUGAUUGGAUCAUGGGGAUGCAUCUCUCAUGAAUGGCUUAGUGCCAUCCACUUUGUGAUGAGCGAGUUUUCAACUCUGGCAGUUCAUGUGAGAUCUGGUUGUUUCAAAGAGCAGGGUAUCUCCUCUCUCUGUCUUAUUCCCUGUCUUGCCAUGUACCAUGUCUGCGCCCACUUCACCUUCCACCAUAAUUGAAACUUACUGAGGUUUCACCAGAAGCAGAUGCCAGCAUUAUGCUUCCUGUACAGCCAGCAGAAUCAUGAGCCAAGACUGGGAAGAAGCAAGUCUGACUGCCCUCCUGAUUCACAAAGAGCAUUAAGAAAGCUGUAGUAGGCUGGGCCACAUAGCCCAGAGGGCUGAGCCUCCUUGCCUGCCUGCCCAUCCACCCUGGUUGUCCCAGUGGUAGGGCCUGGAAAACUUCUAAGGGGGGAGAACAGCUGGAGUUUCUGUUGAUGUGAAAAAGGCAGCUCUCUGCCUUGCACACCCACACUUCUUUUCCUAUAAAACUUCCUAGCAGCAAUUUGAGCUACCUGCGGAGGAGACAGGGCAGGAAGGGUGAGGGUCUGCCUCUGACCUGCCGUGUCCUUUGCAGGAAGCGGGUACCUUUCUGAGCUUCUUCUAUUCCCUACCCACACCCCCAGGCAGGGUUGGAAGUGAAGGACUUUUUUAACCUUUGUUUUCGUUUUUUAAAAAUAAAUCUGUAAAAUCUG